UACGUAGGGUCCGAGCGUUGUCCGGAAUUACUGGGCGUAAAGCGCGCGCAGGCGGCCCGCGAGGUGUCACGUGAAAGCCCCGGGCUCAACCCGGGAGGGUCGUGGCAAACCGGCGGGCUUGAGGCCGGUAGAGGUGGGUGGAACUCCUGGUGGAGUGGUGAAAUGCGUAGAGAUCAGGAAGAACACCCGUGACGAAGGCGGCCCACUGGGCCGGUACUGACGCUGAGGCGCGAAGGCGUGGGGAGCGAACGGG
rnacentral:rRNA from 1 species